GUUGUUGUGUUGUGGUUUGGAAUAUCAAUUGAUAUCAUUCAUUUUCAUAGCUUAAUACCUUGUCUCAUUAAAGUUGCGAUUACACGUUUGAAAUUUCGAAAGACAGAACAUCCAAACAUUGGCAGCGGUCAAUGCCGCCUGCAAAGGGAAGGAGGCUAUGUUGACUAAUUUUAUUUUUGAGGAAUUAGGAGAGUGAAGGUGGGACCAAACUUAUUAACUACUGUGCCUGCCAAGAAGAACCUGGUUUUUAUUCAUAAAUUUCAGCAGCUAUCUACUUCAAGGUCUUGGGCUUGCUGAUUAUAAUAAUAUUGGGGUGGUUUGAUAGUGUUCAUCCAGAGCAAUUUCAUAGAGGGAGUUAAGAAUUUGAUCUCGUAAUGUCCUCUAUUAUUAGGCAAGCAUUCGACUACUAAUCAAUCAGCAGAAUGGCCGAGGUAGUUAGUCAUAGAUGAAUAUUUAUAUUAGCUGACAUAUUUUUUCCUAGUUUUGUAUGUUGCUGUUAGGCCUAUUACUUAGCUAGUCUAAUUUUGUGAGUUUAAAGUUUCAAAUCUUGAUAGCAAAGUUCCAUAUUCUUUAUAAUAAUGUUUUGAUACCUUAAUUUAAUAUCGUUGCCCUCUCAAAUGAUAUGUUGGUACAACGUACAUAACUAAUUGCUGCAUUAGAAAACUAGACUUCAUGUCUGAUUUAAUGAGCUACUGCAAAACUUUUAGGAUUGUUAAUCAAUUUUGACUUCUAAUCAUCAUAGCUUAUUGGUAACUCAUAUAGUACUGAGAAUAAGUUAAUAUAACAUAUGCAGCCUGACUUUUAUUUAUACUGCAAUGAUCUGAUCAGAUAAUUUGAUGUUUCGCUGCAAAAAAGAUGUACUUUUUAUUAUACUGCUUGCUCUUCUUUACUGUUUUUAUUUGGUCAUGUUUCUAAUUAUACAUCAAAAAUUUGUAGAGAACUUGAUUGGGAAAGGGGGC
rnacentral:misc_RNA from 1 species